CGAGUCCUGCCGCCGUACCGGGUGCGGACAGAUCGAAAAGGAUCGGCAGGAGCGGGAGACCCAAGCACGGCGGACCACGAUGGCGGUGGUCCUUGGGGUGAAGUCACUCAGGUGACCGGGCAACUUCGACAGCCCGAACCCGACAGGUCAUCUUUCGCAGGCGGAUGACGAAGGGUUUU
rnacentral:sRNA from 1 species